CAAGUACUCCCUCCGUCCGGAAUUACUUGUCCUCAAAAAUGGAUGUGUCUAGAACUAAAAUACAUCUAGAUACAUCCAUUUCAAUGACAAGUAUUUUCGGACGGAGGGAGUACAAG
rfam:Triticum aestivum genome assembly, contig: Triticum_aestivum_CS42_TGACv1_scaffold_592332_7BS